GUGAGGAAUCUUCCACAAUGGGCGAAAGCCUGAUGGAGCAACGCCGCGUGAAGGAUGAAGGUCUUCGGAUUGUAAACUUCUUUUAUGAGUGAAGAAUAUGACGGUAACUCAUGAAUAAGCACCGGCUAACUACGUGCCAGCAGCCGCGGUCAUACGUAGGGUGCAAGCAUUAUCCGGAGUGACUGGGCGUAAAGAGUUGCGUAGGCGGUGAUGUAAGCGAAUAGUGAAACCUGGUGGCUCAACCACACAGACUAUUAUUCGAACUGCAUAACUCGAGAAUGGUAGAGGUAACUGGAAUUUCUUGUGUAGGAGUGAAAUCCGUAGAUAUAAGAAGGAACACCAAUGGCGUAGGCAGGUUACUGGGCCAUUUCUGACGCUAAGGCACGAAAGCGUGGGGAGCGAACCGGAUUAGAAACCCCGGUAGUCC
rnacentral:rRNA from 1 species